GGCAAGUUUGGCCGGAAUCGACACACCUGAUACAGUUCUUGCAAAGAAGGACUAUGCGCCAAAAGCUGUCUAGGGUUAGAAGGCGGUCAUCGGGAUCGGUGUGAUUGAUUCGGACACCGCAGCCAUGACAGUCUGACAAAUUGGGAAGGUCCCUGGUGACCCUUUUAGAAAAUUGAUCGAACGCAGAGGAUGAUGAUGAGGUUGAAUUUGUGGACUGAAUUGGAACGCAAUUUAGAGGGG
rnacentral:misc_RNA from 1 species